rnacentral:sRNA from 1 species
AGCCUUUUUAAAAGCAGUCCAGCGAGGCUGACAAGAGGAGUAUAAGCUGCAUGGAAACGGCAUGCUUACUUUCAACACAACCUCUUUGUCAUUCAGACAAAGAGGUUUUUAAAA